rnacentral:miRNA from 1 species
UUAAUGCUAAUUGUGAUAGGUGU